rnacentral:rRNA from 1 species
AGCUGCUACGGCAGCGAAGUGGGUGAUGUCAAGCUUCCAAGAAAAGCCCUAUACCCGUUAAGGCAUGAUGGCCUGUACCCGAAACCGACACAGGUGGGGUGGUAGAGAAUACCGAGGGGCGCGAGAUAACUCUCUCUAAGGAACUCGGCAAAAUGGCCCCGUAACUUCGGGAGAAGGGGUGCCACCGCAAGGUGGUCGCAGUGAAGAGGCCCAGGCGACUGUUUACCAAAAACACAGGUCUCCGCUAAGUCGCAAGACGAUGUAUGGGGGCUGACGCCUGCCCAGUGCCGGAAGGUUAAGGAAGCUGGUCAGCGAAAGCGAAGCUAGCGACUGAAGCCCCGGUGAACGGCGGCCGUAACUAUAACGGUCCUAAGGUAGCGAAAUUCCUUGUCGGGUAAGUUCCGACCCGCACGAAAGGCGUAACGAUCUGGGCGCUGUCUCGGAGAGAGGCUCGGCGAAAUAGAAUUGUCUGUGAAGAUGCGGACUACGUGCACCCGGACAGAAAGACCCUAUGAAGCUUUACUGUAGCUUGGUAUUGUGCUCGGGCUCGGAAUGCGCAGGAUAGGUGGGAGGCUAUGAACCAUUGCUUGUGGGUGAUGGUGAGCCACUGGUGAGAUACCACUCUUUCCGAGCUAGAGUUCUAACAGCCACCCGUUAUCCGGGGGCUGGACAGUAUCAGGUGGGCAGUUUGACUGGGGCGGUCGCCUCCUAAAAGGUAACGGAGGCGCGCAAAGGUUUGCUCAGGCUGGUUGGAAAUCAGCCGACGAGUGUAAAAGCAGAAGCAAGCUUGACUGUGAGACCUACAAGUCGAACAGGGAGGAAACUCGGCUUUAGUGAUCCGACGGUUCUGCGUGGAAGGGCCGUCGCUCAACGGAUAAAAGUUACUCUAAGGAUAACAGGCUGAUCUCCCCCAAGAGUUCACAUCGACGGGGAGGUUUGGCACCUCGAUGUCGGCUCAUCGCAACCUGGGGCUGAAGUCGGUUCCAAGGGUUGGGCUGUUCGCCCAUUAAAGCGGUACGCGAGCUGGGUUCAGAACGUCGUGAGACAGUUCGGUCCAUAUCCGGUGCAUGCGCAGGAAUAUUGAGAGGAUUUCUCCCUAGUACGAGAGGACCGGGAGGAACGCACCUCUGGUGUACCAGUUAUCGUGCCAACGGUAAACGCUGGGUAGCCAUGUGCGGAGAGGAUAACCGCUGAAAGCAUCUAAGUGGGAAGCCCACCUCAAGAUGAGUAUUCCCAUGGGGUAACCCAGUAAGGUCACGGGAAGAACACCCGUUGAUAGGCUCUACGUGGAAGCGCAGUAAUGUGUGAAGCGGAGGAGUACUAAUAGACCGAGGGCUUGACCGC